rnacentral:rRNA from 1 species
GACGAACGCUGGCGGCGUGCCUAAUACAUGCAAGUAGAACGCACAGUUUAUACCGUAGCUUGCUACACCAUAGACUGUGAGUUGCGAACGGGUGAGUAACGCGUAGGUAACCUGCCUGGUAGCGGGGGAUAACUAUUGGAAACGAUAGCUAAUACCGCAUAAUAUUAAUUAUUGCAUGAUAAUUAAUUGAAAGGUGCAAUUGCACCACUACCAGAUGGACCUGCGUUGUAUUAGCUAGUAGGUGAGGUAACGGCUCACCUAGGCGACGAUACAUAGCCGACCUGUGAGGGUGAUCGGCCACACUGGGACUGAGACACGGCCCAGACUCCUACGGGAGGCAGCAGUAGGGAAUCUUCGGCAAUGGACGAAAGUCUGACCGAGCAACGCCGCGUGAGUGAAGAAGGUUUUCGGAUCGUAAAGCUCUGUUGUAAGAGAAGAACGGGUGUGAGAGUGGAAAGUUCACACUGUGACGGUAUCUUACCAGAAAGGGACGGCUAACUACGUG